GACGAACGCUGGCGGCGUGCCUAAUACAUGCAAGUCGAACGAGUGGCGGACGGGUGAGUAAUAUAUCGGAACGUGCCCAAUCGCGGGGGAUAACUACUUGAAAGAGUGGCCAAUUCCCCAUACUAUUGGCGCGGCCGAUAUCGGAUUAGCUAGUUGGGGUGGUAAAGGCUCACCAAGGCAACGAUCCGUAGCUGGUUUGAGAGGGCGACCAGCCACACUGGGACUGAGACACGGCCCAGACUCCUACGGGAGGCAGCAGUGGGGAAUUUUGGACAAUGGGGGAAACCCUGAUCCAGCCAUGCCGCGUGUAUGAGAAGGCCUUCGGGUUGUAAAGUACUGUUGGUAGAGAAGCGGUAUCUGCAGAAUAAGCACCGGCUAACUACGUGCCAGCAGCCGCGGUAAUAC
rnacentral:rRNA from 1 species